rnacentral:lncRNA from 1 species
UUCUGAGUUGUAUCAACCUUCUCAGUUGCUGUUAGUAGCACGGGAACUCCAGAUGGUUGCGAAUCUACAGUUGCAUGAGGCAAUGAAACAGUAUCUUCAGUGGGCUUCAAUGGAACAGUGUUAACCACCUGUGGCACAGUGUUAACAGAUUUUAGGAAAACAGUGUCGUUUGCAUAAAUUGGCACCAGAACUUUCUUAGGUCGGCCUCUCCCUCUCGCCAUAGCACCCUCAGCGCAGGUUAACCUACAUACGCAGAGGUAG